UAUGCUAAUUAACACCAGUUCAAAUUAAUCUGAAAAGAAAAAAAUGAAAGAGGAAUUUUAGGGUUACAUGUUUGUGACGCAUCAGCUUCCUUUGAGAAGCUUCCUUCUCUUCACAAAACGCACCGAACGGCGCCGGUGGACUUCUCCGACGAGAUCCUCCGUCGCGCUACCGUCUCAACCUCACGCUCUCUCGCAACGCGUUAUUCUCAGUUCUCUCCGAUCGCGUUCUCGUAUCUCUCUCACAUCUCAGGAACUCGGUGACGUUCCCUCAUUCUCCGACGAGGAACUACAACACCGCCGCGAUAACCACAGCACCGAUUGCUCUCCUCUCGGUUCUCUCUCGUCAACUCAAACCUCUCGCAAUUCAAGUUCUCUUCCUCAAUCUCUCGCUCUCGGUUCUCUAUUUUUCAUUUCGGAUUGCGUGGAACUAAUUGUGAUGUUGAUCGAUUUUUGAAGCAAGUUCAAGAAUUGUUUGCAAUUGUGACGAUGUGGAUCGAAGAAUUGCGUGCAGUUGUAGAAUCGCAUCGUUGCAGGCUCGUGAUGAUUCGAUGAUGAUUAGGUGCAAUGUUGAACGCGCUUUGGUUCGCCGCAAGGUUGCGUUUAAGAGCUACAAUGAUCUUCGAAGUCAGGUACGGAAUCCGUUCGCCACACCUGCGUUGAGCGUUCUUACGCAGAUUUGCUUGUGAACUUCAAUUAGGUGAUGUUGUUCAGGCUAUUGAAUCGGUGAUUAUAGAUAUGAUGAAGAUUGAAGUGCGAUUCCGAGAGAGGUGAAGAUGAAGACGCGACAAAGAUGAAGAAGUCAUAGUGAUUGAUUCUCCGUGAAUUUGUGAAGAUUAAAGAUGAUGAAGAUUGGAGAAGAGAGGAUGAGAGCGAUUGAAGGUUCAAGAUCGGAGAUGGAGGUUCGUUGAGGGAUCCAUGAAUAGAGGUCAAGGUUCUCAGUUUAGCCUGGUUUUAUUGCAGGUAACAGCUUGGAUUGGUUAACUAGAACAUGUCCGGUUCAAUUUUAUUCACUGAGGAGUAUGUGGUUUGAACCGAUUUUUGGCAUGGAUUAAAUGGUGAAGCGAUGUGAUGAUCGUGGACCUUGGAUGUAUUUUGUGCGGUAGUGAUACUAGUUUGUGCAGCGAGCUCCUUCAGGUUAUAGGACUUUAUCACGGGAGCAUCUUUGACAUAUCAUAAAGAGACUUGGAAAUCAGAAGACUUAAGUAUAGAGAAAGUGAAGAUGAACUUAGGCCCUCCCUUUUUGUAAUUCUUUUGUAGUUGAAUUUUGGAAUAUAUGGACAUUUUUGAGAAUUUUUAUAAUUUUACUUUUGUAAUGGAUAACUUUGGUAUUUUGUAAUGAUUUUUGAACUUUGGAUGAAU